rnacentral:rRNA from 1 species
AUCUUGCAUGACUAUGAAGUGGCCUCGGGGCAGAAAGUAAAUAUGCAAAAAUCUUCUAUUUACUUUGGGAAAGGUAGUACCAAUGAGAAUAAGGAACAUUUGAAGGAGGUCAUUGGCAUCGAAUCCGAAGCGUUAAGUGAAAAUUAUUUGGGCCUACCAACUGUGGUGGGAAGAGCCAAAGAUGGGACAUUUAAAUACGUUCGAUAG